rnacentral:lncRNA from 1 species
AUGGAUCCAGGCAUUUGGGGGGACUCUGACAGGAAAAUGGUGCUGGGAGAACAAGGGGGGACUUGGGUCUGCUGGGUUACAAGUGUUAAAGCAGGACAGUGGAGGAAAUACAGAACCACGGGAUGGUUUGGGUUAGAAGGGACCAUAAAGAUCAUCCAGGGACACCUCCCACCAUCCCAGGCUGCUCCAGCCCCAUCCAACCCGGCCUCGGACACUUCAGGGAUCCAGGAGCAGCCACAGCUUCUCUGGGCACCUGUGCCAGGUCCUGCCCACCCUCAGUGUCCCCCUGGGUGCCCCUUUGUCCCCCUGGGUCCCCCUUUGUCCCCUUGGGUCCCCCUUUGUCCCCCUGUGUCCCCCUGGGUCCCCUUUGUUCCUGGGUCCCCCUUUGUCCCCCUGGGUCCCCUUUGUUCCCUGUGUCCCCCUUUGUUCCUGGGUCCCCCUUUGUUCCUUGGGUCCCCUUUGUUCCCUGGGCCCCACUUUGUCCCCCUGGGUCCCCCUUUGUCCCCCUGGGUCCCCCUUUGUCCCCUGUGUCCCCCUUUGUCCCCCUGGGUCCCCCUUUGUCCCCCUGGGUCCCCCUUUGUUCCUGGGUCCCCCUUUGUCUCCCUGGGUCCCCUUUGUUCCUGGGUCCCCCUUUGUUCCCCUGGGUCCCCCUUUGUCCCCCUGUGUCCCCUGUGUCCCCUGGGUCCCCUUUGUCCCCCUGGGUCCCCCUUGGUGCAGUGCCCCGUGCCAGAGCCCUGGGCCCAGGGACCUGCAGGGGAGGCAGGGGGACGCUUCCAGGAGGCCCCAAACUGGUGUCACUGGUGUGGGCCCAGUGUGACCCCCGGCAGAGUGGAAACCCAGCUCAAUCUCCAGAGUCUUUAUUCAACACCGAGUCAUAAAAUAGCUCUUUACACGCUUUGCUGGGGGUCGUUUCUCUGUAAUUCUUUAAAUACACAUUGUUUACACUUGCCAAAGUUUCAAAGCAACAACAUCAAAGUGCGUCUACAGGUGAGAGUUCCAUCCAAAGUGCUGAAAACACGGACUCCUGGCCGGAGCUGGGCCCUGCUCCCACCAAAACCCCGGCUCCUCCCGGCUGCUCCCCCAUCCCGGCGCUCCCCAGGACACGGCUCCGGCAGAUCUCACACCAAGGGCCCGGUUCAGCAUCGAGGGACCAGGGGAUGGGGGGAAAAAAGGGAUGUUUGGUUCUCCAGACACUGGCACAUCGCUGCAGAAAGACUAAAAUAG